AGUGCAAAUACUUUGGCCUAACAGGUUCUUCUGCAUAAAGGGAGCUGUGACCUUUCAUGACAGUCCUGGAAGCUUGCUAAUUAAAAGCUCGUGGAGUCUUGAUGUUCUGCGCAAGUGACUGGGCUGUGGACUGUACUCCAUGGACAAUGAAUCUCGCAUCGUUAGCAGCUAUGAUAGUUCCUCACACAAAAUGAAUGUUCAUUACAUGUUUGCUAGAAGGGACAAAUGAAUGGAUUUGCCAAAUGGACAAGUUAAUUAUCUUCUGAAUCCAAAAUUAGAACCCUUGGUCUGAUACAUUUUGUGUAAUGAAGAAGAGUUCAAGUAACUUCUAAAAUGAUUGCUUAUGGUAGGAGAGGCAAAUUGCCAUGUUGUCAUCAGCCCCAUGGAGACAUCCAGGGGGUGUCCUCAGUUUUUAAGAACCUGCAAGGAAGUGACACAUGCCAACAACCAGAUGAGAGCACUUAGAAGCAGUUCCUUGAACUUCAUGUGAAUCUUCCCCCUUGGCUGACAACCUGAUUGCCGCCUCACAAGAGACCUCCAGCUAGAGGCUGAGCUUGGAUUCCUGACCCAUGGAAACUGUGAAAUAAGAAAUUUUGUUGCUUUAAGCUGUUAAAUUCGGGGGCAACUUGUUGCCCAGAUAUAGACAACUAGACACAGAUAAGAAAGAAAGCAGGGGUAAGCUACUAUUCUUAUUUGCUGCUCUGACCCACAUGUUGAUUUAGUAUGAUGUUUACUCUUCAUAGAGUAAUAUUGUUCUAGUUUCUUGGCUGAUAGCUCAAUGUCUUCAUGUAGACAUGUGCAAAAAGCUGAAAAUUAUCUUGAUUUUAACCGUUUAGGUAAAGCAUCAGCUAGCAAAAUGCCCCAAAGCAACUCAGUUAACAAAUAUUACUUAUUGAGGCCUGUUCGUUGCUGCCUAGGCCAUGGUAAAUGGUCACUUAUGAAACCUUAUGGCAGCUCUUUUAUUUUCCAAAUAGAGAAGCUGAAGCUAUGGAAAGUCAAGUAAUUUGCCCAGGAUUAUGCUGCCAGUAAUUCAUAGAGUCAGGACUAGAAUCCCGAUCUCAUUUCAUCAAUCAGCUAUCCAUAUUGCCUCUUAGGUAGCCAGCAGGUGUAUCUCCAUUACUGAGUUCUCUUCCAAUGUUUCAAAGACCAUUAUUUCCCCCAACGAGGAAUAAUAUAGCUGCACAGCCCAGUAGACAACACUGGCCUCUCGGGUGAAUGAAGACUCUGCUAGAUGUUGGGGAUUCAGUGAAGAAAAUAGAGUCCUUUCAAAGUAUUUCAGUCUAGAGGGAAGAGGCAGAAAUGGUCUGUUAACUAUGCUAUCUUUCUGGUUUGGGUGGGAUUUAGCAGUCCCCAGUUGGCUUUGGUGUGAGAUACAUCUGUGCUUGAAACCCUAGUUUCACUUUUUAUUGGCUGUGUGAAUGUCACUUUGCACAAGCUAUGAAAUCUCCGUCAGCCUUCGUUUCUCCACAUAUAAACUGGUGACAAUACGUCUGCCUGUAGGGCUGCUGAGGGGAUUAACCAUAGUGUAUGCAAAGUACCUACGAUAGGUUUAAGAUAGGUGUUCAGAAAUGCCUGAUUCUGCAUUGGAACCACGUUUCAAGAGUCACUUCUGCAGGAUGACUUCAUAGCCAAAACUUAAAGCCCUGAUGAUAUUAACUAGUCUUAAACAAACACUGUCUCUUUACCUCACUUUGACAGACUAAGUUUCAGGCUCUGUAAUUCAAUUGUUGCCAAUUUGGCAACGGUAGUAUUUGUUGUUCUGUUCUGUGCAGCUAUGCACGUUUUCAGUAACCUGAGUUAUCAUGCUUUGGCCACAGGGAACUGCAUUUGGUCUCUUGCAAGAUGCACUGAGCCCCUUUAUAUUUUCACAUUGAUUCAAUAAAAUGGCUCACUGUAGAUGCAGCUCAGAUGAGAUAUUUGCUGUAUAUUUUGUGUAACUGUUGAGUGCAAAAUAUGCAAAUUUCAAGCUCAUGUUUAUGUGAAUAAGCUAUGGCAAUGAAACAAUGAAAUACUUAAACAUAAAAUCAUAUACAUAUGAUACAUAUA